rnacentral:lncRNA from 1 species
CGACUAUCCUGAUUUUCCACCUGAUUUUAAGGAGUAAAGGCCAGUAUUUGUCUCCUUGAUCCAUCUACUCAUAUAAAACACUUCAGGAGGCUGAAGUCCCUCGGUGCAGCAGACAAUCAUCCCAGUACAUGGCUGUUCUGAAGUAUCAUGCAUACCUACGAAGAACUAUAGCCAAGGGAAACAGAUGACAUAGAGAUUUCUUAGCAGUGAAUAUUGACUGCCUGUGAUUUUCAGAGAAACAUCAGUCACAGAAGAGCACUGGGAGCCACCUGCAGCAACUCUGUCAUGGCCUUUGAAGCUGUGAUGUUUUAGAGAUGUAAGUGGGAGAUCAGGACGGAUAGGAUUGGAGGAAUAUGGCUUUGUGAGCUGGUUAUCAUCAGCACAUACCAACACGGUGUCCUCUGCUGUGUGCUAGGAUGAGCUGGGGGGCUCCUCUGUUGAGUUAAUAUUGUG